AGAAUGAACGCUAGCGAUAUGCUUAACACAUGCAAGUUGAACGUUGUUUUCGAGUCAAAAUGAAAACAAAGUGGCGAACGGGUGCGUAACACGUGGGAAUCUGCCAAACAGUUUGGGCCAAAUCCUGAAUGAAUGAAAGCUAAAAAGCGCUGUUUGAUGAGCCCACGUAGUAUUAGGUAGUUGGUUAGGUAAAAGCUGACCAAGCCUACGAUGCUUAGCUGGUCUUUUCGGAUGAUCAGCCACACUGGGACUGAGAUACGGCCCAGACUCCUACGGGAGGCAGCAGUGGGGAAUUUUGCGCAAUGGGGGAAACCCUGACGCAGCAACGCCGCGUGGAGGAUGAAAUCCCUUGGGAUGUAAACUCCUUUCGAUAGGGAAGAUAAUGACGGUACCUAUAGAAGAAGCCCCGGCUAACUUCGUGCCAGCAGCCGC
rnacentral:rRNA from 1 species